AGAGGAGGUCAGAGGACUGUAACAGCAGGCAGAGCUUUGGCUUCAGAGCCUGGAGCCACAGAGAUCCCAAAGGAGAAAAAGCAGCCACUGGAGGGUCAGUGGGCUCAGCCUGUGGCCUCCCUCAGGACUGCUGGGGCAAGAGAAGGGCAUGCCUCCCUUACCCAGGAGCUGUGAACCAGGUGCCUCCCUGAGCAUAUCAGGAGAGAGAAGAACCAGAAGCAGGUCUCUGUGGGGCCUCACAGUGGAGCAGAGAAGGCCUUUCCUCCGUCUGGGGUCCAGCGCUGGCCUGGCCCAGUGUCUGACCCUCUUGGGACUGAAGUGGUGGGUGCCCAAUAAGUUGUGCCUGUCAAACCCAUCUAUAGCAGACCUGUCAUUGUUUUUUAUUUUUGAGACAGAGUCUUGCUCUGUUGCCCAGGCUGGAGUAGGGGUGUGAUUACGGCUCACUGCAGCCUCGACCUCCCCAGUUCAAGCAAUCCUCCUACCUCAGCCUCCUGAAUGGCUAGGACUACAGGUGCAGGGUCACCAUGCCUGGCUAAUUUUCAAAAGUUUUCUGUAGAGAUGAUGUCUCUUUAUGUUGGCCAGGCUGGUCUUGAACUCCUGGGCUCAAGUGAUCUUCCCACCUUGGCCUCCCGAAGUGCUGGGAUUAUAGGUGUGAGCUACCGCACCUGGCCUCAGAUCUAUCAUUCUUUAGGGUGAGAGCCUAGCUCAUUUUGUCACAUAGGGUAAGAAACCUGAAACUAUCUGUGUCAACUUUUGUAUUUUCUGUAAAUUUGGUUUUAUUUUACAUUUAGAUUCCUAGUAAAGUCCCUUUUGAAAAACUAAACAUACUUUCUUUGUCCAGUGUUAAAAGUGUUGUUUUUCGCUCGGCAUGGUGGCUCACACUUGUGAGCUCCCAUCCCAGCACUUUGGGAGGCUGAGGAGGGAGGUUUGUUUGAGCCCAGGAGUUCCAGACCAGCCUGAAAAACACAGUGAGACUACACACACACACACACACACACACACACACAAACACACACACACACAAAAGUGGAUUUCUUUCUUUUCUUUUUUUUUAGAGACAAGGUCUCACUCUGUCACCCAGGCUGCAGUGCAGUGGCAUGAUCCUAGCUCACCGCAGCUUCAAACUCCCUGGUUCAAACGAUCCUCCUGCUUCAGCCUCCCAAAGUGCUGGGAUUACAGGUGUGAGCCACUGCACCUGGCAAAAGUUUUUUUGAGACAGAGUCUCUCUCUAUGGCUCAGGCUGGAGUGCAGUGGUGCAAUCUUGGCUCACUGCCAUCUACGCCUCCUGGGUUCAAGCAAUUCUCCUGCCUCAGCCUCCAGAGUAGCUGGGAUUACAGGCACCUGCCACCAUGCCCGGCUGAUUUUUUUGUAUUUUUAGUAGAGAUGGGAUUUUACCAUUAUUGGUCAGGCUGGUCUCAAACUCCUGACUUUGUGAGCUGCCCGCCUCGGCCUCCCAAAGUGCUAGGAUUACAGAUGUGAGCCACCACGCCCGCCUGGCAAAAGUUUUAAUGAGCACUUUCACAUUCAAGGUUUUUUUGUUCCUCUUAACAACUGCAGUGAGAUAAGUAUCAUGACCCACAUUUUACACAUGAAGAUGUCAAGGUUCAGAGAGGUGAUGUGACUCAGCCAAGGACUCACUGUUGAUGAUCAGGAGACUUGUGACUCAGACCCCAUCUUUUACUAACUCUGUGUGGACUGCCCAAAGGGCAGAGGUUCUUGUCCGGUUUUGGCCCCAAUAAUUAUGGAGGACUAAGAGUGUCCCUCAGAGGCCCUGUAUAGUGGCUGUGUUGUUUCUGCUGCAGACUCAUUUAUUCAUUCAGUAAGAAUAAAGUACCUUAAGGCCAGGCGUGGUGGCUCACACUUGUAAUCCCAGCACUUUGGGAGGCAGAGGUGGGCAAACCAUGAGGGCAGGAGUUUGAGACCAGCCUGGCCAAUGUGAAGAAAUGCCGUCUCUACUAAAAAAAACCAAAAAACAAAAAAAACCCCCAAAAAUUAGCCGGGCGUGGUGGUGCACGCCUGUAAUCCCAGCUACUUGGGAGGCUGAGGUGGGAGAAUCAUUUGAACCCAGGAGGCGGAGGCUGCAGUGAGCCAAGAUCGCCCCACCGCACUCCAGCCUGGGCGACAGAGCGAGACUCCAUCUCAAAAAAACAAAAAAACGAAACAAAAAGAAUAACGUACCUUGUACAUGCCAGACACAGUAGAUGCUAUAGCAAAAAGAGUAGAAACAGACAUGCUUUCUGAUUUUAUGGGGCUUACAAGUUGGAG
rnacentral:lncRNA from 1 species